rnacentral:rRNA from 1 species
UGGGGAAUAUUGCACAAUGGGCGCAAGCCUGAUGCAGCCAUGCCGCGUGUAUGAAGAAGGCCUUCGGGUUGUAAAGUACUUUCAGCGGGGAGGAAGGUGUUGUGGUUAAUAACCACAGCAAUUGACGUUACCCGCAGAAGAAGCACCGGCUAACUCCGUGCCAGCAGCCGCGGUAAUAAGGAGGGUGCAAGAGUUAAUCGGAAUUACUGGGCGUAAAGCGCACGCAGGCGGUCUGUCAAGUCGGAUGUGAAAUCCCCGGGCUCAACCUGGGAACUGCAUCCGAAACUGGCAGGCUUGAGUCUUGUAGAGGGGGGUAGAAUUCCAGGUGUAGCGGUGAAAUGCGUAGAGAUCUGGAGGAAUACCGGUGGCGAAGGCGGCCCCCUGGACAAAGACUGACGCUCAGGUGCGAAAGCGUGGGGAGCAAACA